rnacentral:rRNA from 1 species
UGAACGCUGGCGGCAUGCCUUACACAUGCAAGUCGACCGGUAACAGGUCUUCGGAUGCUGACGAGUGGCGAACGGGUGAGUAAUACAUCGGAACGUGCCCAGACGUGGGGGAUAACGAGGCGAAAGCUUUGCUAAUACCGCAUACGAUCUAAGGAUGAAAGCAGGGGACCGCAAGGCCUUGUGCGUUUGGAGCGGCCGAUGGCAGAUUAGGUAGUUGGUGGGAUAAAAGCUUACCAAGCCGACGAUCUGUAGCUGGUCUGAGAGGACGACCAGCCACACUGGGACUGAGACACGGCCCAGACUCCUACGGGAGGCAGCAGUGGGGAAUUUUGGACAAUGGGCGAAAGCCUGAUCCAGCAAUGCCGCGUGCAGGAUGAAGGCCUUCGGGUUGUAAACUGCUUUUGUACGGAACGAAAAGGCUCUGGCUAAUACCUGGGGCACAUGACGGUACCGUAAGAAUAAGCACCGGCUAACUACGUG